UACGAAGGGUGCAAGCGUUAAUCGGAAUUACUGGGCGUAAAGCGUGCGUAGGCGGUCUUUUAAGUCUGCUGUGAAAUCCCCGGGCUCAACCUGGGAAUGGCAGUGGAUACUGGGAGGCUAGAGUGUGUCAGAGGAUGGUGGAAUUCCCGGUGUAGCGGUGAAAUGCGUAGAGAUCGGGAGGAACAUCAGUGGCGAAGGCAGCCAUCUGGGACAACACUGACGCUGAGGCACGAAAGCGUGGGGAGCAAACAGG
rnacentral:rRNA from 1 species